AGGAUGAACGCUAGCGGCAGGCUUAAUACAUGCAAGUCGAACGGUAACAGGCCUGGCAACAGGCGCUGACGAGUGGCGCACGGGUGCGUAACACGUAUGCAACCUACCCUUUACUGUGGGAUAACCCUGAGAAAUCGGGGCUAAUACCACAUGGUAUUAUUGAUUGGCAUCGGUUAAUAAUUAAAGAUUUAUUGGUAAGGGAUGGGCAUGCGCCCCAUUAGUUAGUUGGUAGGGUAAUAGCCUACCAAGGCGAUGAUGGGUAGGGGAUCUGAGAGGAUUAUCCCCCACACUGGUACUGAGACACGGACCAGACUCCUACGGGAGGCAGCAGUAAGGAAUAUUGGGCAAUGGAGGCAACUCUGACCCAGCCAUGCCGCGUGCAGGAAGACUGCCCUAUGGGUUGUAAACUGCUUUUAUACGGGACUAAUUUCAUUUACGUGUAGAUGAUUGCAUGUACCGUAAGAAUAAGCAUCGGCUAACUCCGUGCCAGCCGCCGCGGU
rnacentral:rRNA from 1 species